GACGAACGCUGGCGGCGUGCUUAACACAUGCAAGUCGAACGGAAAGGCCCUGCUUUUGUGGGGUGCUCGAGUGGCGAACGGGUGAGUAACACGUGAGUAACCUGCCCUGGACUUUGGGAUAACUUCAGGAAACUGGGGCUAAUACCGGAUAGGAGCUCCUGCUGCAUGGUGGGGGUUGGAAAUUUUCGGCGGUUGGGGAUGGACUCGCGGCUUAUCAGCUUGUUGGUGGGGUAGUUGCUUACCAAGGCUUUGGUGGGUAGCCGGCAUGAGAGGGUGACCAGCCACCUUGGGACUGAGAGACGGACCAGACUCCUACGGGAGGCAGCGGUGGGGAAUAUUGCCCAGUGGGCGGAAGCCUGAUGAAACAACGCCGCGUGCGGGAUGACGGCCUUGGGGUUGUAAACCGCUUUAGCCUGUGACGAAGCGUGAGUGACGGUAAUGAGUAAAGAAGCACCGGCUAACUACGUG
rnacentral:rRNA from 1 species